AUUGAACGCUGGCGGCAGGCCUAACACAUGCAAGUCGAACGAGUGGCGGACGGGUGAGUAAUGUCUGGGAAACUGCCCGAUGGAGGGGGAUAACUACUGGAAACGGUAGCUAAUACCGCAUACCCUCGGAUGUGCCCAGAUGGGAUUAGCUAGUAGGUGGGGUAACGGCUCACCUAGGCGCCGAUCCCUAGCGGGUCUGAGCGGAUGACCCGACACGCUGGAACGGAGACACGGUCCAGACUCCUAAGGGAGGCAGCAGUGGGGAAUAUUGCACAAUGGGCGCAAGCCUGAUGCAGCCAUGCCGCGUGUAUGAAGAAGGCCUUCGGGUUGUAAAGUACUUUCAGCGAGGAGGCGUUACUCGCAGAAGAAGCACCGGCUAACUCCGUGCCAGCAGCCGCGGUAAUAC
rnacentral:rRNA from 1 species